AUUAGUAGUUUGAUCAUGGCUCAGAGUGAACGCUGGCGGUUANGCCUAACACAUGCAAGUCGAACGGCAGCACAGGAGAGCUUGCUCUCUGUGGUGUGCGAGUGGCGGACGGUGUGAGAGAAUACAUCGGAAUCUAUUCUGUCGUGGGGGAUAACGUAGUGGUAAACUUUACGGCUUAAUUACCUGGCUAUUACGUACCGUACGGGGUGUAANAUGCAUGGUGAAUCUUCGGAACCUAUGGCGACUGAAGUUGAAAUGAGGCCCGAUAUGUCCGGAUUUAGGCUAAGUAUGUGCGGGAGGNUAAAAGUGCCUCACCCGAA
rnacentral:rRNA from 1 species